rnacentral:rRNA from 1 species
AGAGACAGCAGUCGCCGCGGUAAUACAGAGGGUGCAAGCGUUAAUCGGAUUUACUGGGCGUAAAGCGUGCGUAGGCGGUUCGUUAAGUCGGAUGUGAAAUCCCUGGGCUCAACCUAGGAAUUGCAUUCGAUACUGGCAGACUAGAAGUCGGUAGAGGGAGGUGGAACUCCAGGUGUAGCGGUGAAAUGCGUAGAUAUCUGGAAGAACACCGAUGGCGAAGGCAGCCUCCUGGGCCUGAUUUGACGCUGAGGCACGAAAGCGUGGGGAGCAAACAGGAUUAGAGACCCGUGUAGUCCCUGUCUCUUAUAC